rnacentral:rRNA from 1 species
GCGGCGGACGGGUGAGUAACACGUGGGUAACCUGCCUGUAAGACUGGGAUAACUCCGGGAAACCGGAGCUAAUACCGGAUAGUUCCUUGAACCGCAUGGUUCAAGGAUGAAAGACGGUUUCGGCUGUCACUUACAGAUGGACCCGCGGCGCAUUAGCUAGUUGGUGAGGUAACGGCUCACCAAGGCGACGAUGCGUAGCCGACCUGAGAGGGUGAUCGGCCACACUGGGACUGAGACACGGCCCAGACUCCUACGGGAGGCAGCAGUAGGGAAUCUUCCGCAAUGGACGAAAGUCUGACGGAGCAACGCCGCGUGAGUGAUGAAGGUUUUCGGAUCGUAAAGCUCUGUUGUUAGGGAAGAACAAGUGCAAGAGUAACUGCUUGCACCUUGACGGUACCUAACCAGAAAGCCACGGCUAACUACGUGCCAGCAGCCGCGGUAAUACGUAGGUGGCAAGCGUUGUCCGGAAUUAUUGGGCGUAAAGGGCUCGCAGGCGGUUUCUUAAGUCUGAUGUGAAAGCCCCCGGCUCAACCGGGGAGGGUCAUUGGAAACUGGGAAACUUGAGUGCAGAAGAGGAGAGUGGAAUUCCACGUGUAGCGGUGAAAUGCGUAGAGAUGUGGAGGAACACCAGUGGCGAAGGCGACUCU